CAUCGUCGUCUGCAGAAUAAUGCACCUUCUAUCUUGCAGUUGCAUCACUGACGAAAAAUGCUCCUUCUUGCGUCGUUGCAGGCUUCACGAGGGGCAGCCGGGUGUCGGCGAGGAACCCGCUGAUGACGAGGAACCUGGAGAGGAACGGCAGGAUCACCUGCAUGACGUGAGUAAUUAACUGGACACUUAAAACGAGCUCUCGCUCUCGCUCUCGCUCUCUGUGAAAUACUCGUGGAGGAGCUGAUGAUCGCGGCGAUCGAUUUCUAGGUUUCCCCGGGACUGGCUGCGGAGGGACCUGAGCAUCAUCGGGUAUGGGCUGAUCGGCUGGAUGGGCCCGUCCAGCAUCCCGGCCAUCAACGGCAACAGCCUCACGGGGCUCUUCUUCUCCAGCAUCGGCGAGGAGCUGGCGCACUUCCCCACGCCGCCGCCCGUCACCUCCCAGUUCUGGCUGUGGCUAGUCACGUGGCACCUGGGUCUCUUCAUCGUGCUCACCUUCGGCCAGAUCGGCUUCAAGGGCAGGACAGAGGACUACUUCGAGAAGUGAUCAGCGCGCGGCCACGAUCGAUCAAGCUCCGAUCCAUGCAUCGUCUCUGAUAUGAUGCUGCGUUGCGUUCCGCUGCGUGCGUGCCGCAGCAACCAGCAAUCGAUCGAACCUUUGCUGUAUAAUAGUAUAUGAUGGUUCUGAUUUGGUUCAAAAAUGUGUGAUAUGCUACUUUUGAG
rnacentral:lncRNA from 1 species